CCAUAUUGCUUUCUUUGCUGGCUAGAAUAAUUUUUCCAUCACAUUAAACACUGGUCGUUUCCGUGGUUACCACCACCCUGCGAUCCAUCAGUGGUGGCCGUGCUUGCACACUAUAUGAAAAAGCGUCGGUCUCUUUGGUGGCUGGGACUGUGGGA